AUAUGUGAGUGUAACGUCACUAUUUCAAGACCAUUUUCCUUUUCUAAAACUCCUCUUUCUCAUCGACGUCUUCAAACGCCCAAACCUUCCUAUCGUACAAAUCUGUCAGCUUCAAACCCCUCAAAUCCUUCCUCUCGCCAACCGAUCGACUAGCCAAAUCUGCCCCCUCUGUGAGUCCAAAUUUUUUCAGUUUUCUCAACUUAUCUAGCGUCCGCAUCGUCUUCAUCCUGCCGUCGUUGACAUUGAUCCAGCCAAGGUCAUGCCGUCUUCGUCCGAUUGAGGAUUCAAGAUGUUAAAGUCCCACAGAAUGGCCAAACCCGAGAACAGUUCUUAUACUUGAUGAAAUGUGAAAAUGUGUGCCAAUCUAGGAUGGUUUAGCUGUUCGUCUUGAGGUUUCACAUUGAUUGCAAUCUAGCUCCCCUUAUGGAUUCAGAAUUCUUUUGGCAUUUUGAUAUGUAUGCGAUUAGCAUUGUGUAAUAUUAGAUUCAGAUAUUAGCAUUUUGAUAUAUGUUGGAAUUAUCAUUUUAGAUUUUGGAUGAUUUGCACAUUUUAAUUUCUAAAUUCUUAAUGGAAUGUGUUUUAUAUUCUA